AGUGAACGCUGGCGGUAGGCCUAACACAUGCAAGUCGAACGGCAGCACAGUAAGAGCUUGCUCUUACGGGUGGCGAGUGGCGGACGGGUGAGGAAUACAUCGGAAUCUACUUUUUCGUGGGGGAUAACGUAGGGAAACUUACGCUAAUACCGCAUACGACCUACGGGUGAAAGCAGGGGAUCUUCGGACCUUGCGCGAUUGAAUGAGCCGAUGUCGGAUUAGCUAGUUGGCGGGGUAAAGGCCCACCAAGGCGACGAUCCGGAGCUGGUCUGAGAGGAUGAUUCGGCACACCUGAACUUGAGCACCGGUCCCACCUCCUCCGGGAGGCAGCGGUGGGAAUUUUUGACCAAUGGGCGAAAGCCUGACCAACCCAACCCGCGUGGGUAAAAAAGCCUUUCGGUUUGUAAACCCCUUUGUUGGGAAAGAAAAGCAGCAGGUUAAUACCCCGCUGUUCUGACGGUACCCAAAGAAUAAGCACCGGCUAACUUCGUG
rnacentral:rRNA from 1 species